CCUACGGGGGGCAGCAGUGGGGGAUAUUGCACAAUGGGGGGAACCCUGAUGCAGCGACGCCGCGUGGGUGAAGAAGGGCCUCGGCGCGGAAAGCCCUGUCAGCAGGGAAGAAAAUGACGGUACCUGAAGAAGAAGCCACGGCUAACAACGUGCCAGCAGCCGCGGUAAUACGUAGGGGGCAAGCGUUAUCCGGAUUUACUGGGUGUAAAGGGGGCGCAGACGGCGGAGCAAGACAGGAGUGACAGCCCGGGGCCCCACCCCGGGACUGCUCUUGGAACUGCGUGGCUGGAGUGCAGGAGGGGCAGGCGGAAUUCCUGGUGUCGCGGUGAAAUGCGUAGAUCUCAGG
rnacentral:rRNA from 1 species